rnacentral:rRNA from 1 species
AUUGAACGCUGGCGGCAGGCCUAACACAUGCAAGUCGAACGGUAACAGGAAACAGCUUGCUGUUUCGCUGACGAGUGGCGGACGGGUGAGUAAUGUCUGGGAAACUGCCUGAUGGAGGGGGAUAACUACUGGAAACGGUAGCUAAUACCGCAUAACGUCGCAAGACCAAAGAGGGGGAACUUCGGGCCUCUUGCCAUCGGAUGUGCCCAGAUGGGAUUAGCUAGUAGGUGGGGUAACGGCUCACCUAGGCGACGAUCCCUAGCUGGUCUGAGAGGAUGACCAGCCACACUGGAACUGAGACACGGUCCAGACUCCUACGGGAGGCAGCAGUGGGGAAUAUUGCACAAUGGGCGCAAGCCUGAUGCAGCCAUGCCGCGUGUAUGAAGAAGGCCUUCGGGUUGUAAAGUACUUUCAGCGGGGAUGAAGGGAGUAAAGUUAAUACCUUUGCUCAUUGACGUUACCCGCAGAAGAAGCACCGGCUAACUCCGUG